rnacentral:sRNA from 1 species
UAUCUCUCCGUACGGGGAAGGAUGAGAAGCUUCGACCAAGGUUCGAUUCGAGCGCAGCGAGAAAGCGUUGCCGCAGGCAACGACCCGAAGGGCGAAGCGCGCAGCGCUGAGUCAUCC